rnacentral:rRNA from 1 species
CGCGUAGGUGGUUUGUUAAGUUGGAUGUGAAAUCCCCGGGCUCAACCUAGGAACUGCAUCCAAAACUGGCAAGCUAGAGUAUGGUAGAGGGUGGUGGAAUUUCCUGUGUAGCGGUGAAAUGCGUAGAUAUAGGAAGGAACACCAGUGGCGAAGGCGACCACCUGGACUGAUACUGACACUGAGGUGCGAAAGCGUGGGGAGCAAACA